GAGAGAGAGAGAGAGAACAAUAAUGUUAUGACCAGCUGUUAGCAUAUUACUUUGCUGCUACGUCAAUUUUAAGGUAAGGUUAGCUUACCAAUAUUAAUAUUAUUAUGAUUCGUUAAAUAUUAUAAUUUUAUAUGAAAAAACUAUCAAAUAUUAUAUAAAAAUAUGUAAUAUUACAUUGAAAAUUUAUAAUAUUUGAUAUUACUACUUUCUAUAUAAUAUUUAACAAUUCCUUAUGCAAAAUUAAUUAUAAAUAAAUAUAUCUAAUGAAUCAUUAAGCUUGGUAGCAUCUUU
rnacentral:misc_RNA from 1 species